rnacentral:sRNA from 1 species
GAAAGCCGUAUGAUAGAUGGUAAAUAUCUUGUACGGUUCGGGGGGUAAUCGGCGUACUCUGAUCAGUGGGGGGAAUCUUUGGCUCUAU